rnacentral:rRNA from 1 species
AAGGGCACCACAAGAACGCGUGGAGCAUGUGGCUUAAUUUGACUCAACGCGGGAAAUCUUACCGGGUCCGGACACACUGAGGAUUGACAGGCAAUAUUGGAAUGUGCUUUGCGCAUUCCAUGUUAAAUAUGCUAGUCCUUUCAUGAUUAUGUGAUAGGUGGUGCAUGGCCGUUCUUAGUUCGUGGAGUGAUCUGUCUGCUUAAUUGCGUUUCACUAAGGGCUUAUUAAUUACGUGCGCUGCACUCUCUUUGACCCCUCAUUUAUUUGAGCGCGUGUCUCAGAUGAUUAUGCUCGCACAAUUAAGUCCUGAAAGCAACGAACGUGACCGCAACCUCUUGUUGCCUUUUGCACAAACCUGUGCUUGAAUUUUUUUUUCAUGCGCGGAAAAAGAGGCUAUUAAACUAGAGGGACCGCUGUAAUCUUUUUAAACCAGAGGAAGGUUGCGGCAAUAACAGGUCUGUGAUGCCCUUAGAUGUUCCGGGCUGCACACGUGCUACAAUGAUUAUUGCAGUGAGCAUCUCAUACUAUACACCGCUUGCGCGAAGGCUUCUUGUGUCGCUUUUGCGUGCAAGUUGCUCUUUUUGCGCGCGGUAAAGCCUGCUUCGAAAGUAAGUGGGUAAUCAAUUAGAAGUAAUGAUUUCCUUUUUUCAGCACACAUAUAUACGGCGUUGUUACCCGGAUUAGGCUUGUCCUAUUCUUUGUGUGUAUCAAUGUUUUUCCGUAUGUGCAAUUGUCAAUUCAUGGUGGGGACAGACCAUUGUUAAUUGUUGGUCUCGGUCUUAACUAGGAAUGCCUUGCACGGGUCUUUGGUUCAACAGACCACCCGGAAUACGUCCCUGCCCUUUGUACACACCGCCCGUCGCUCUUACCGAUGGACUUCUCUGUGAGUUUGAGGGACUGGAAUUUUUGCGCGUCUUUUUCGCUGCAAUACCUCUAUGGAAACUUAAACGAACAGUGUGGUCUAAAGGAAAGAGAAGUCGAACAAGGCA